UAGCUUGGCUGCUAGUAAGUCUUUUCAUCCCCUCUGCUGCAAAUGACCAGAGCUGCAUUGUGUAACUGGAUUAAAGGGACGGAGACAAGUUGACGCCAUAAAAAUGACGCAAGGUGUCACAGUGAUGUCAUAGUAUUGUAUGUAGCACAUCAGAGUAUUCAUGUGAUCUGCUGUGUAAAGGUCCUGCUAUAGUUCAAGCCGGUUGUUUAAAUGUGCACAUAACCCAGUUCUAUUGAUAAAUUAACCUUAUUUCUAUAAUUAGCUGAUGUUGUUUCAUGCACGUACUAACUCUGUAUCUCGUCCCUCUCCUGUGCGUGUGCAGCUCCAGUGCGACACAUGUCCUCUGGGGUUCCUGGGGGCUCCAGCAACAUGACGUACUUCAUCCUGUGUGGAGGAGGCCUCACUGCUGCUGUCAUUUAUGCCUACAAGUCAGUGAAUGGGGACACGGGGCGCUAUGAGGACAGGCUGCCCGACACGGACGCCUCAGCAAAAACUGCAGCUCCGGCAACAGAAGCCACGCCAGCGGAGGAGGCGGCGCCGGCCGCGGAGGUCAUCAGUGAGCCUGUCUUCGUCCCCGCGGAACCGGUUCCAGUGGCCGCUGCAGAACUCGUGCUUGAGAGCGCACCCAAAGAAGCGGCCGAUGUGGCUUCUGAGGUGCAGGUUCUGGAGGCUGCAGCUGAAGAAGCUGCGCCCCCCGUAGAGGGAGCCUUGGAGGUAGCUGCGGCGGAAGCUGCGCCCGUCGCCAUGGAGACGCCGGCUGAGGCCCACGCGGCAGAGAGCACCGGUACGGCAGCAGUAGACAAAUCCCUUCCCGCUGAGGUAGAGACUGCGCCUGCAGCCGCUGAGGCCGAGGCUGCUCCUUAUGCAGACGUAGCUGCUUAA
rnacentral:lncRNA from 1 species